rnacentral:lncRNA from 1 species
ACAAACCCUAGGUGGAAAAAAUCAAAGAGAAAGUGUUGGAAUUCAAGGAUUUGAUCAAGCAAAGGUAAAAUUUCUUUGAUUUUGCUAGUGAUUUACCUUACCCAUGCAUUUUCCCUUAAUUUCCAUGGUUAAAUUACAUGUUUUCAUGAUGAAUUCAUGGCUGGUCAAAAUGGGUAUGGAGAGGGAAUGAUCUUGGAUUGGUUUGAUUUUUAGGUAUGUUAGUGUUUUUAGGUAAUUAAUGAUGUGUAGCAUGAAAACAAGUGAAGAAAACCACCAAAGGUUUGGAACCCAUCAAUAGCCGAAUUCUCUAAGUGAAUAAAGAGGAAGAAUGGGAUGUUAUUCUAGGUGAUUUGAUUAAGAAAUAAUAGUUUUUGGUGUAGAAAUUAAUGAAUUAUGGAGAGAAAAUUAAGUAGGAAAAAUCACGGAGUUAGUGUACCAUUAUUGGCCGAAUUUCUAAGGAAAUAUUAGCUGAUGAUCUUGAUGUUUAUUUGAGGAAUUAUGAUGAAUAAUGAUGAAUUAUGAGCCUAGAAAAAUAAUGAAAAUUUUCGGAGCAAAAAUAAGAAUUUUUACCCAUUAGGGGUAUUUUCGUAAUUUACUAUCGGGACUGAUAAAUUGAAUCUCAUUCACAGUCACUAAGGUAAUUUAAGUAUAAUUGGAGUGUAGAAAGUGAGAAGAAUUGAUUUGGAGUUAAAUUGGAGAUAAUAGGUCGAAUUAGGUCAACACCGCAUUUAAGCUGUAGUCGGAUAAGUUACAUGUCAUAUCAUGCAUAUACACCGAGCCUGAAUUGAUUUUAUAAUGGUCAAGCAUUAAUGUGGUGAAUUAUGUAUUGUACAUUGUGCAUAGGUGGUGAGCAAAUUACACUGGUAAAAGUACAGAGAUUGUGCUUGAAGAUUGGGGUUAGGAGUAUAUCGACUCCUAGAACUGUGAGUGGACAAUUUAUCGUUUUAAAUAUCUAGAGUAAUUAUACUUGUUUGAUGCUUUUAUUGAAUGGUGAGUUUAAAUUAUAAAAUAUUAUGUUUUCCAAUUAAAAUGUUUUUUAAUAAAAAUGAGAUUUAUAUUGAUUUUGAAAUCAAAUAUUGUUUUGAGAAAAUUGAGUAUAUGGAGAAUGUGUUGAAAUUUAUGAUUUUAUAUGUUAUUAAAAUUGUGGCUUAUGACACUAUGGUAGCAUGAUGGCUAAAUUUUUGGGGUUGGCAUGAAAUAUAUGAAUAGUUUUGGAUUGGUCUCGGUAGACUGGAUUAAAUUUUAUUCGCCAUAUUAUGCUACUGGAAAUUUUAUGGGUCUGGUGGUAUAUUAAACGGUCACUGCAGUGGUGGGGGUUUCCGUGGACUGCCUAUGAGAGGGGCACGGUAACCCAAUUAUAUAUUUACCUCCGGGGAGAGAUGUUGGAUGAAGUAUCUCUUGAGGUAAGAUUUGAAUGCACCUCACGAUCACUGCAGUGGUGGAGGUUUCCGUGGACUGCCUAUGAGAGGAGCACGGUAACUCAAUUAUAUACUUACCUUCGGGGGGAGAUGUUGGGUGAAGUAUCUCUUGAGGUAUGAUUUGAGUGCACCUCACGUUCAGGCCACCACGUGAGAGUGAGACUCAGCCAACGCCAAGGAACGACUGUAUGUCAAAUGUGAAAACAUGUUUAUGGGUAUGGGUCAUUGAACAGCCUUGGCGGUCUCAGUGGGAUACCUUGACAAAGAUACUCGCGAGAAUGAUUCUGGCAGGGGCCAAGUUUAAGAAUUCAUAAGACAGAAAAUUUUGAUGAAAAGAAAUUGUUUGGUAUAGAUUGAAACGAAUUUUGUGUUAUGAACAUUAUUGAGAUAUAACAUUUUUAUAUUGUCUCCAUCUACUCGGCUUUAGAUGCUUUUGAUGGUAAUUGUUUACUCACUGGGAUUAUGUAAUCAUAAUCUCACCCCUCUUCCUAUUCAUUUUUCAGGCUGAGGACAAUUUGUUGAUAGUUGAUUAAGACGAGAAUUAAUCUCGAAGUUGCAUUCUAGAAAAUAAGGGUUCGUAGCCCUACAUCUUCUUGGUCAGUUGGGGGCCCACGUGUUACUAUAAAAGUAAUUUUAUUUUUCAGUUAUUUGAUUUAAAGUAUGUAUGAAUAUAUUUAGCUUUUACACCAUGUUUUUGGCGAGUUUCAAUAUUUUCGAAGAAAAAUGACGAAAAUGCCCCUAUGAGCCAGAAAGUAAUAUUUUAUUGUUUUGAUUUGGAAAUAACUUAUGAUUUUUUGAAAAUGUGAGAUUUAAUAACUGUCGCUCACUGAGGAGAUGCAGAAGCUGAUGCUAAGCCUUACGGGGUUUCGAUCAUCAUUCGAGGUAAUGAGUGCCUAUCGGGACGUCGCGACGGUUGUCACGAGCUCGAUGAGAGUUCCGGGUCGUGACAUAUUAGCACAUCGUUUGCAAAUGCUAAGUGGCUAACAUUCACUGAACAACCAGAAUAAUAGUGUAAUGAUGGAAAUUUAGAGAACAAGAUAUUUAAACCUCUUGAUAAAUAUUUUGCUGCUAAAAUAAAUAAAAGGGGAGAAAUCGAUUCACCCUACCUUAAUCCUUUUUUCGAUUUAAAAUACCUCAUAGAUAUGCCAUUUAUCAAUAAGGAAAACUAGCAAGCAAAAAUGCAC